GUGACUCGCAUCAGUAGAUUACUAUGAAGCUGCAAGAGGGCCCAGAAAAAAAAGUCACCUUGGAUUUCCAUUCAUGAAUACAUACUUCCGUGACAUAGGAGGUGUGAAAGAAGCAUUUGCUGAAUGAAAUAAAACUUCCUGAAAUGUAAAAAUAGGCAAGGGUUUGUAGCCAUACACUAAAAAUUAUUGUAAAGCACUGUCACUGUUAGCAUGGCCAAGAUAUACCUAGAAGAACACUUUUUGUCUUCUUGUAGCACUGCUUCUUGGAUGUGAUAGGUGCUCCACAAAUAUACUAUUAAUUUAAUUAAGCAAAUUUGAUUUAGAAUAAUCUCCUGGCCAAAUGCCUAGGGAUCUUGAACCUGAACUAAUUAUAGUCACAAAGAAGGGCUUGCAUUUGAAAUCUUCGAGGGUUAAGAAUGGUCAAAUACAUGUCACAAAGACAAUAAAAAUAUUCCAAGGGC
rnacentral:sRNA from 1 species